AAUUUAUAAAGCUCCAUCUGAUGCUUGUCGUUUGCUCUAGUGUUUGUAAUGGCGCUUCGCACCAGUGUUCAAGUGAAUUGAAAUGAGAUAUGUGUGAUGAGAGUAUUUGCAGCAUUAAUAAAUGAUAUUUGUUAAUAUUUUGCACAGGAAGUUACUUACUCCAGUGGAUUGUAGUGACACAACAUCGUAUUAGUUUAAAGUGGGCAAAGUUGGAUUACUAAUUUGCGGGCGAAGCAAGGUAUGAGUCAAAGCAAUGUCGAUGAAGACUCGCUGUUAACUGAAGAUGAGGAAAAUGAUUCAUUUUUUGGCAAAUUAAGCGAAUAGGUAUGGGAAGUUUAAAACUUUCUCAACAGCGAAGAUCCUGAUGAAGAAUAACGAUGAUCCUAAUUUAAUUGUGAAAUGUAGUCAUGAUUUUAACAUAGGAUCUCAAAGUAUCAAGGAUUCCACUUGGAAUCAUUAUAUCUUAGGAUCCUGACAUGAAGAUACACAGUUUUAAAUCCUAUUUUCAAGAUAGUAUUGGAAUAGUAACGAUAUUUAGAAUCCAAAAAAAUAUUGGUCUCCAGUAGAAACAGGGCGUACCUCGUAAGCAUGUGCAUAUUUUCUAGGGGGAUCCAGGGGGUACACUUCCCCCUAAAUUGUAAAGCCCCCCCCAAAGGAAAAAUUAUAAAAUGGUAUUAUGUACUGUAGACUAUCAGUAAGACUGAGUAAAAAGUGGAAAUUAUCAUUUCAAAGGCAGUUAAAUAUUUUAUACUAUCACCAUUUGCAACAGAGUUUCUAGCAUGCAAAUUUUAAUUGAAACAUUAAAAUUGAAAUAAAUUUCUAAACAUGAA